CAAUAUACCUUUUGGGGGGACACAAUUCAACCCACAACGGUGCUAAGAGUAGGACAUCAGGCUGUAAGUAGGCAGAAAAAUCCAGACAACAGAAAGAGGACUUAACCCAGAGUGGCAGGCACAGUCAGGGGUUAGAGAUGGAAAGAACUGAUCUGAGCGACACUGGGAGGGCAGAAUCCACGACAUGAGUGACAGAGAUUCAAUUCUGAGGGAGUGGGAAGGGGAGAGAUCCAGAUUCUAGCUCAGGCAAUAGACGGAUGGAAGGUGAUGACCAGGAUAUCCAGGAGGAGUGGCAGGUUUGAGAGAAAGAGAAUGCCGUUGAUUUUGUACAUAUUGAGUUGAAAGAGCCCAUGGGACCCCCAGGUGAAGAGGGGCAAGAGAAAGACAGAUGCAAGAGUGAGCCUUGAGAAAGAGACGUGGGCUGGAGCUGUGGCCUUUGGGGUUGUCAGUGCAUAGACGGCUACUGUGUAAGGAGGUCAGUGGUGGGGAUGGAGUAACAAGAGGGGACUAGCUAAUGAAAACAGAAGGGUGCUGACAACAGAAUCCAGGCAGGACCUGGAGAUAUAAGGAAAUAUAAGGGAUGCACAAAGCAAGAGAAGCCUAUCUAUUGGUCUCAUAGAGAAAGAACACAGAAAGAACACAGGACGUCUUAAGUCCCAGUUUCGCCCAAUAUACCUCCUAGAGAAUCCUUACUUCACGUGGGGGUGUGGGGGAGGAUUCAGGAUGUUUCAGCAUGAGAAAUCACCUGAGUUCCGACUCCAUUGCACUUCCUUCCAUUCUAAGGAUGAGGCUGGACCUCUCUAUUCCCACAUCACCUUCCCCCUAUUUCCACUGUUCUUUGAGGAUGCUGCUGGGUGCUGAAGGCCUCAGCAGACCCCUUGUUAAGGCAGAGAUAUAAGAAGGUGCCCCCCACCCCAAGCUGCCUUCCCUCCCGUCCAUCACCACUCCUCAAACCCUGACCAAUGGGCCACAUCAUAAGGCAACCAUCAGGCCUCAGUACGAAUCAUAAAGGAAGCUACUUCCUUACGUCUGAGGCUUUGUCCUACCCUGAGCGGAGCUGGCAGAAUGACUAAAACCAGCAGAUUUUUCCCGAGACAGUAAUGCUUUAAAGCGACUUUUGCAUGCCCUUUCCUUUACAUUUUAAUGGCACUCUAAUGUUGAAUUAAAAUGGAAUUCCCGUGGAAAUGUACAAUGUCUAAAUCGAUACCGGCUGAUUAGUGUCAUGAGGAUGAAUAUCAAAAGAUAUAAUAGCAAUGGAAGGGCUCAAACCAGGGUGAAUAAAGCCGCCAGUGUCCAUUAACUCAAGCCUGACUAAUGCUAAAUUACAAUAAAAUAUCUAGGAAAUUCUGGCCAGAAUCACUUUAAAGCCCACAAAAUGUAGGCUAAUUAGCACUAUGAUGACAAAUGCAGGAAGAAUUCAUUAUGCCCAAAGACUCCUCAUAAAGGCCAAUUUUACAAACGCGGCCAUUUUUACCAACACAAUUCCUAGAAGGCCGUGAGUGGCUUAACCACCACUGAGCUGCCACUUACCAUGUGCCGAGAGAAGCCGGGCUUCGUGUGAGCCUCAGGGAAUGAGCUACAACCCGCCUCCUCCCUCCAUUACUCAGCGCAGUGUGCAUUUUCCCCUCCCCUUAAUCGUAGCUAUCGACCUGUCUUUGCAUCUCUCCAUCUGGUUGUCUGUCUAUCCAUUAUAGAGUAACCAUUAUGAGUGCAGACUGUUGUGUCAGAUAUUCCAAGCCUGCGUUCUGCUGCUGCCUCUUCCUACCCACGUGACUUUCUGAAGGUUGCUCUGUCCCUCAGUUUCCCCAUAUGAAAAAUGGGGAUAAUAACAAUACCCACUCAUAGGGUAGGUGUGAAUAUCAAAUGAGUUAUUGCAUCUAUUUAAAGGGACUUUGAUAGUAUGUACACCAGUAGCAUGCAGCAAGUGUGAGCUACCAUUUAUUUUUCUCCUCUUCCUUUUUUCAACCUACUCAAGAGGCAGUAGGAUGAAAAAGAAGACAUUUGGACAACUCUGCCCUGUCAACCCCUCUCUGCUCAGAGGUGCACAAAGGCAUGGAGUGUUACAGAGGAAGAAACUUUGAAUGGAGAACACUCAAUUCGAGCCCAUUCAUUAAUAGGUGAAGAAUCCGAGGCCCAACAGCAAGGUGACUUCCUAACUUCAACCAGGCACCACCAUGGAAAAUCAGGGCCUGUUUUGGGUCUCAGUAAUCCGGAAGAACAAUGCACUUCAGGGCCCAAUGUCUAACAGCCGAUUUCCUAGAAGCAACUGCAGAGGGUGAGGACAACCCAAAAUUCAUCUCAUUUCUCAAAGAGAAGACAAAAUUUCUCCCAGAGGACUUUUGGCAGUGUCUGGAGACAUUUUUGUUGUCACAACUUGGGGAUGGGGUAUGGUGGUGCUACUGGAUGCUGGCGUUUACAGGCCAGGGAUACCCCUCAACAUCCUGAAAUGCAGAGGACAGCCCCACAACAAAGAGCUAUGCAGCCCCAAAUCUCAACAGCGCUGAAGUUGAGCAAGCUCCUUUAUUCCUAUUCAUUUCCUGUUGAUUAAUGAUGGAAUUCUUAGAGCGCACUCACGCUUGACGUCUUCAAGCGGUAAAAGGUAUCACUGUCCCCAUGCACUACUACUUUCAAGAAAUGCUGUGUUCAUUAUUGGCUAUUUGUGUUUCUUGAAUUUUAGUGAUUUCUGUAUCACUUUCACUUUUUAGCCGAUCAUCGUUGUAUAAGACAAUUUGUACUCUAGUAUACAGCAACAAAUUGCUUGCCCUGAAUUUACAUUUAGCUGUUUUUCUUUAAUAAAAAUCAAAGAAUUGUG